AGAUUCGCGACGCGUCGAUUCUUGGGGCAUCGAUUCAGGUGGGAUCGAUUCGGCGGAUCGAGUGUUUUUUUCCAUUCGGCGGGAGCCCUGAACCCGAGUCAGUGUCGCUCCUUCUGCGGAAUGCAAUUCUCAGGCGGGCGGCAGGCGGCUGUGGACCAGAAUAACUGUGGGCGUCGUGGCCCACGCGUGGACCCGUGGCCGGCGUUCGUCUUCACUUCUGCUAAAUGACGCUGUGGCUGCCCCCACCCGUUGCCACGUAGCACCGUGCACGGCAAGCGGCCUCGUCUUGCCGUGAAGUGACCGAGAGCGUGGUGGGGUCCUCGCCUGGACACCUGCGGUCGUUCGCCAGCAUCGAUUGAAGCAGCAACAGCAGCAACAAAAACCCCGCCCGACUCUGCCGAUGAGAACACCGAGUCGUUGAAAAGCGCUCCGAAGUUUUGUUUUUGCCUCCGUUGAAACAAUGCCGCUGUAGUUGUGCACGUCCAGUCGUGAGUCUCGCUCGCUCACUCGCUCCACCACACCGGCUCCACUCCUCCUCUCCACGACAAGCUGCGCCCAAGACAUGGCCUCACAGGAAACUUCCCCGGGCAAACCUCUCACCCCGUACCAGGGAGAAGACCGGUGCUUUGGCACGUUCGAGUGCCCCAAGUGCAGGCGCAAGUGGUGGAGCGCGUUCUCCUGGGCCAACAUGGGGCAGGAAUGCGAACGCUGCAUGAUCAACGUGUACCCCUACCAGCAGGAUUCCCUGAAUAAGCCGGACAAUGAGAACAAGUCGGACCCGAGAAAGCCGCACCCAUCUCAUCUGUGCGAGAAGUGCAAGAAGUUGGGGCGCAGCUGCGUUUAGGACCACCUGCGGAGCGGUGGAUGACACCGAUGGCGCGCCGCUGCCGGGGAGGUGGGCUACGCUCACGGUGCCAUGGACCUGCUUCAGCGCCUACCACCGAGUCGACCAAUCAAAACGAAUCGGGACCCAGGCCUACGUGGCCAACGCGGCCCACCUGACGCACAGAAUGGCACGUCGUAGAUUUGGGCAGGCUGUGAGUGGCACGUGGCCACGAAUCCCAAACCGUCGACCGCCAUCGUAAACACUCUGCCGCCACUGCCCCUGUAGUCUUCGCUCAGCAGUUUACAAAUAAGAUAAAAAAGUAUUAAUUACAUGGCCCUGCGAGUCCUGAUGUGAAGGACAAAGCGAACCCCUGCCCACCCGUCCUACCCCAAAUUUAGAAUGAAGCGGAUAACGAAUCUAAAAUUAUACCUUUAAUCUGCUGCUAUUAAUCUAUAUGAAAGAAAAGAGAAAGCCCUACCCUAGGCCCGAGCCCCCAACCCCUCAAGCUGCCCACAGAGCGCGUGGCAUCUCGAUUUUUGCCACCAGGCUCACUUCUCUUUCUGCAUCGCAGCGUUUUUUCCUUUGCCGCGCACGAGCAAAUACCAAAAUUAACGCGACUCAUCAAUGCUUUUCGAAUUGAUUUCAAAUCGUGUUGAGAGAUUUAAAACUCCUUGCAGAUUGAAGCAACAAAAAAAAACACUGUCCGUAGUAUUAUUGCUAUUUGCAGUAAGGACAUAUGAUGAUUAAAAAUAGUGCUGAGAGAAUUUUAACCCAAGGUGAUGUACAUGUUUAUAAGAUACUGAGCAUCGUUUUAAAAUAAACCUGUUUGUCGAUA